rnacentral:rRNA from 1 species
UACCGGGGGGGCAAGCGUUGUUCGGAAUUACUGGGCGUAAAGGGCUCGUAGGUGGCCACCUAAGUCGGACGUGAAAUCCCUCAGCUUAACUGGGGAACUGCGUCCGAUACUGGAUGGCUUGAGUUUGGGAGAGGGAUGCGGAAUUCCAGGUGUAGCGGUGAAAUGCGUAGAUAUCUGGAGGAACACCGGUGGCGAAGGCGGCACCCUGGACCAACACUGACACUGAGGAGCGAAAGCCAGGGGAGCAAACGGG